CAGUCGCCGCGGGAAUACGUAGGGUGCAAGCGUUAAUCGGAAUUACUGGGCGUAAAGCGUGCGCAGGCGGUUAUAUAAGACAGAUGUGAAAUCCCCGGGCUCAACCUGGGAACUGCAUUUGUGACUGUAUAGCUAGAGUACGGCAGAGGGGGAUGGAAUUCCGCGUGUAGCAGUGAAAUGCGUAGAUAUGCGGAGGAACACCGAUGGCGAAAGCAAUCCCCUGGGCCUGUACUGACGCUCAUGCACGAAAGCGUGGGGAGCAAACAGGAUUAGAUACCCCUGUAGUCCCUGUCUCUUAUAC
rnacentral:rRNA from 1 species